rnacentral:rRNA from 1 species
GACGAACGCUGGCGGCGUGCUUAACACAUGCAAGUCGAACGGGCCUUGUCCCCUUUUUUUUGGGGGUGGGGUUAGUGGCGAACGGGUGAGUAACACGUGAGUAACCUGCCCCUCACUUCUGGAUAACCGCUUGAAAGGGUGGCUAAUACGGGGUGUUCUGGCCUGCUCGCAUGGGUGGGUUGGGAAAGAUUCGACCGGUUUUGGUUGUUUUGGUGGGGGAUGGGCUCGCGGCCUAUCAGCUUGUUGGUGGGGUGAUGGCCUGCCAAGGCUUUGACGGGUAGCCGGCCUGAGAGGGUGGGCGGUCACACUGGGACUGAGACACGGCCCAGACUCCUACGGGAGGCAGCAGUGGGGAAUAUUGCACAAUGGGCGCAAGCCUGAUGCAGCGACGCCGCGUGAGGGAUGGAGGCCUUCGGGUUGUGAACCUCUUUCGCCAGUGAAGAAGGUCCUGCUCUUUGUGGUGGGGUUGACGGUAGCUGGAUUAAUGAAGCGCCGGCUAACUACGUG